rnacentral:lncRNA from 1 species
GGAAUGUGCCUUCGACAUAAGUCUUAAAUUUUGUAGUCUUCCUAUAUAUUAGAACUGAAGAUAUGGUGCAAAACAAAAACCUAAUAAGCAGAAAAUGGCAACUAGAACUGCUUAUUCUCUUAUUAUGCAAUUUGUCUUGUGUUUGAUUUUGAUUCUCUUAGUCCUUCCACGAACAUCUGCAGGUAGAUUUGAGUAAUAUUUAAAUCACUUCAGAUUUUUCAUUGGAUCAUCUUUCAUUAAUUAUGUCCCAAUAACUCUUUGCAGUUCUUUUGAAUCUGCCUUUUCAUCUUUUAGCAACUCUUUCCAAUUUUUUUGGUGCAGGAAAUCAGUCAUUUGUAGAGGGACAUCCUUCAUGGCGUGGCCCUGGCCCUUGAGUCCUCAUAAUUCUCUUUAGAUUAGUCUCCAAUAAUUGAAAGGUUACAUAACUAUUGUUUCGAUCAUCAUCGUCUCUUCUAUCUAUGUUUAAGAAGCUAUAUAUUAUGUGAUGAUUGUGUACUAGCUACCAGACGUUUGGAGUUUCCAAGUGAUAUGUGUUCUAGUGUAAGAACAAGUCAAGUUAUUCUGUUGUAUUUGCAAUUUUCAGUUAUUAAUUGAUAAAUUUUAACUCUAUGUAAUUAAUUUCA